rnacentral:rRNA from 1 species
UACGAAGGGGGCUAGCGUUGCUCGGAAUUACUGGGCGUAAAGCGCACGUAGGCGGAUUGUUAAGUCGGGGGUGAAAUCCUGGAGCUCAACUCCAGAACUGCCUUCGAUACUGGCGAUCUCGAGUUCGGGAGAGGUGAGUGGAACUGCGAGUGUAGAGGUGAAAUGCGCAGAUAUCGGGAGGAACACCAAUGGCGAAGGCAGCUCGCUGGGACGGUACUGACGCUGAGACGCGAAAGCGUGGGGAGCAAACAGG